GGCCCGCUCCUGGCCUCAGGGACCAGGGCGUCCAGUCUCCGUGGCUUGUCCCGUCACCAGACCACAGACCUGCCCUGGGCCGCAGCUCCGCCCAGGUCUGAGCCGGAGGAGGUGACGUUCAGGUGGUGACUGGGGACAAAGCCACGUCUUCCCACGGAGGGAGCUCCGUCGGUGGGAACCGCCGGUUAAAACAGAGGUCGGCCCGGCACCCCUCAGGCCGGUUCCACUGAGAUUCGCUGAGCCGGGGAAGGACAGGCGGCAACAGCGGCGCCCCGGGGGCGGUUCGCGACCUGCGCUGGUGCAGGGUGGGCUCGCGGUCUGCCCACUGCCGUGGUGUAAACACACGCACGGCCGCCGCGGACAGACUUGGAAGGGACGCGCACUCCCCCGGCGGACGCUCUCAGGCCGCAAGGAGGACGCGGACUGAGCAUGCUCGCCUCACAGGUCCCAAGUCCCCGCUUCUCCCUCCGCCCACCUCUCCCUGCGGGGACGGGGACAUGCUACAGGGGCCGGGCCAGCGCCUGGCAUAGGACAGAUGCCGAGGACGACAGCCCCUCCGCCCAGCAGCCUGGCCAGCCGCCCAGCUGACACUUCUGGACCAACAGCCAUGCCCUGGUGACCCCUAAGUGACCCCUGGUGACCGCAACAUCCUAAGUCACAAAUACAGCCACUGGCGAACGUC